AAUCCAUAGGUUAAUGAGGCGAACCGGGGGAACUGAAACAUCUAAGUACCCCGAGGAAAAGAAAUCAACCGAGAUUCCCCCAGUAGCGGCGAGCGAACGGGGAGGAGCCCAGAGCCUGAAUCAGCAUGUGUGUUAGUGGAAGCGUCUGGAAAGGCGCGCGAUACAGGGUGACAGCCCCGUACACAAAAGCGCAUGUGCUGUGAGCUCGAUGAGUAGGGCGGGACACGUGGUAUCCUGUCUGAAUAUGGGGGGACCAUCCUCCAAGGCUAAAUACUCCUGACUGACCGAUAGUGAACCAGUACCGUGAGGGAAAGGCGAAAAGAACCCCGGCGAGGGGAGUGAAAAAGAACCUGAAACCGUGUACGUACAAGCAGUGGGAGCACCCUUUGGGGUGUGACUGCGUACCUUUUGUAUAAUGGGUCAGCGACUUAUAUUCUGUAGCAAGGUUAACCGUAUAGGGGAGCCGGAGGGAAACCGAGUCUUAACCGGGCGUUAAGUUGCAGGGUAUAGACCCGAAACCCGGUGAUCUAGCCAUGGGCAGGUUGAAGGUUGGGUAACACUAACUGGAGGACCGAACCGACUAAUGUUGAAAAAUUAGCGGAUGACCUGUGGCUGGGGGUGAAAGGCCAAUCAAACCGGGAGAUAGCUGGUUCUCCCCGAAAGCUAUUUAGGUAGCGCCUCGUGAAUUCAUCUCCGGGGGUAGAGCACUGUUUCGGCUAGGGGGCCAUCCCGGCUUACCAACCCGAUGCAAACUGCGAAUACCGGAGAAUGUUAUCACGGGAGACACACGGCGGGUGCUAACGUCCGUCGUGAAGAGGGAAACAACCCAGACCGCCAGCUAAGGUCCCAAAGUCAUGGU
rnacentral:rRNA from 1 species